GACGAACGCUGGCGGCGUGCUUAACACAUGCAAGUCGAACGGAAAGGCCCUGCUUUUGUGGGGUGCUCGAGUGGCGAACGGGUGAGUAACACGUAAGUAACCUGCCCUUGACUUUGGGAUAACUUCAGGAAACUGGGGCUAAUACCGGAUAGGAGCUCCUGCUGCAUGGUGGGGGUUGGAAAGUUUCGGCGGUUGGGUAUGGACUCGCGGCUUAUCAGCUUGUUGGUGGGGUAGUGGCUUACCAAGGCUUUGACGGGUAGCCGGCCUGAGAAGGUGACCGGCCACAUUGGGACUGAGAUACGGCACAGGCUGCUACGGGAGGCAGCAGUGGGGAAUAUUGCACAAUGGGCGGAAGCCUGAUGCAGCAACGCCGCGUGCGGGAUAACGGCUUUCGGGUUGUAAACCGCUUUGGCCUGUGACGAAGCGUGAGUGACGGUAAUGGGUAAAGAAGCAACGGCUAACUACGUG
rnacentral:rRNA from 1 species